CUGACAGACCGUGCACUGUUGUCGCGGGUGCUGCAGCAGUCUUGCUCCUUCCUGGAGCCUUCCUCCUCUCACACCGCCUCUUUGGCGACCCCUGUAGGUUCAUGGUUUUACUCCUGGAGUGGUGUAUUCCUUGAUGAUAUGUUGAUGCGGUCCGCUUGGUGUUCUUGUUUGCUGUUCUUACUUGACAAUAGAGAAAAGAAAUAUCAUCUUUGAAAUGCUUGGAAUCGAUAGAUCAUUCAUGCCGUGGUUGGAUGCAAAUUAAGAACUAUUGGUAUAAGUUUUGUUUUCUUGGUCGGACUUUGUUCAUUUGAUUGUCUUAGUGCAGUCACACGUGCACACUUUUUGCAGGCAUCAGUGAAGAUUUGGGCAGUAGCUAGGGAGGGAUUGCUAGAGUGGAAACAUGGCAAGAACCGGAAAGAGCUCAAGAUUUUGCUACUACCUUGCUAAUAAAUUUGUGAGGUUGCUUUAUGGAAGUAUUUACAGGCUUGCCAUGACAAGGAAUGCAUCAAUUAUCUUGGUAUAAAAUUUAUUUGGAUGGUUCAGAACCUUCAGAUGGCAUGGCUGAGAUAUAGUUUGUUGUAUUCAGUUUUUUUUUCAUCGUCACAGGUUUGCAAAUUUUGGUUCUACUGCCAGUGCAUACUUUAUGUUUCCAUUUCCAUCAAUUCAUCUUGUAGAAUAUCUGUGACCCUCGACGUUGGUUUGGAAGUUCGGUUCAGUCAUAGCCUAAUUUUUGGGUCUUCGCAAAAAAAGGCCUAAUUUUUGGGAUUUAGUAAUUGCGGCCUGUUGUUAGUAUGCGAGUGUACAUACAAACGAUUAGCACUAUAUUUACUUUGAUUUAUUUGUUGUGAUUAAGAGCAGAAGCUCUACUCAUCUAGGACGAGGUCUAUGACAAGGAAAGUUAAUGUAAAAACUCACUUCAUUUUGAUAUAUUUGUCUUCUAAUAACCCACCGUGCACAGGACAGACCAUGCAAGCAUCAACUUAUCGAGAAAUGACUUAUUAACCUAUUAAAAGGCCAUACCGGAACCACCUAUGGCAUAACCUUUUCAAAACAUUUAAGUAGGGGUGGGCAAUAGAAGCGUUGUAGUAACUGCUCGCUUGUUGAACGGACAAACAUUUUGACGAUGACUCUUGCUUUCAUGGAUAUACAGAGAUAAAUGGAUGGAUGUUGUAAAUACAGUAGAAAUCAUGGGUGCAACAAUUUUUAUGUCCAUGUUUUUCUUUUUGUCUGAUUGUGUAUGUAUACUGGUUACAGGGCACUAUUUGCAUAGAAUUUACUUGACCUGUAGGAACUGGCUCUACUAUCUAGCUUUUAAAUGUAAUAAAUCUAGAAGGCAAUGGAGCAUUACUGUCUUUCCCUCUUUCUACAUAAGCAAGAAAGCUGUGACUUGGAUUCUGGACAUGAAUCUUCUUAACCUGUUGAAGCAGAAAACUAUAGAUGCAGAGUCCAAUUAGUUGUCCUUUGUGCAUACACAAGAAAGUGGAAUUUGGAGUCUGAACAUGAAUCCUUGAGACUGAUGGCCAGAAACAGAACACAACAUGAUGACCUUGAGUGAGACCCUUCUUCACAUGUGACUGCUCUCUUUUGGAAUACCAGCCAUGCGUGACAUGUUUAGUAGAAUAGAUUGUGUCGUACGUCUGGUAGUUGUUGUUGCCUAUACAGAGUGUGAUGAUCUGAGGGUGUGAACUAUUUUUUGUGCAAAAUACUUGUUAUAUAAACUAUAUGGAUGGAGUUACGGGACAUUAAGAAAAGAUAUGAGAAAGAAUAUAGAGUGUGAAAUUUGCUAUAUAAAUUACUUGUUAUAUAAAAGUUGAAUCUCACGAUCCAACUUUUUAGAACUAUGCCACAACUUUUAUGAGGCCAUAAGUUUUUCUUUUGAAAUCUGCAGGUUAUAUGAUUUGUACAUGGCGGUGUUACUGAACAGAAGGAGGUAAUUUCUUCGCUCUUUCUAUUGAUUAAUAUUGUUCUUCACUCUUUCUAAACUAUUGAAUUUAUUAAUAUUAUUCUUGCACAAAUUAAUUAAUGAUUAUAUCAUCUUUUGGUCACUCGAGUAAGAUAGAACAUGAUGAUCCUCUCUUAAUUUGGUUUCUCCUCCGCUGAAGAAUAUAGGAAUCACCAGCAGCCCUUCUUUAGUUCCGAGGAAGUGCUCAACCUAGACGUUGUUGGCCGAAGGAGGGGCGGAGCAGGUGCCAGUCAAGUAGGCGGCUCAAUGGGUGGGAGAUGGCAGCUGCCGAUCUCACACGGCUCAUGCGCCCCGCGACCCUCCCCUCCCCGGCUAAGUAGGAGGUUCGAGGGCAGCGACUAAGGAAGGAGCACAUCGGCGAUGAGGGCUAGCAAUAGCAAGACAAUUGCCAGAGUCCAUGGUAUCAUACGAUUUGAAGUUGAAAAAAUCAUGCUAUGGGUGAUACGGAAAAGUCAUUGCCUUCUUUGCUGGAACAUUUCCUAAGAUGAUCUAAGGUGAAGCAUUUAUGAAUAUCCUCGCUGAUCUAUGGAUCUAUCAUUGUAAGAGUCGAUAACAUAUGGUGAGCUGCCUCACACCAUCAUUUGGUCUUUGUGGCAUUUGAGUUGGCAAAUUUGUUGGAUUCAUGCGAUUAGGCAUGCCAUGUAAAUCAAUCUGCAAUGGGAAAUGGGAGUUUGCAAACUACCGGAGUCUAAUUGCUGAGGGACGAGGUUCGUAACUGAGGGUUAUGUGCAGAGCUGGAGGAAGAAGUUGCGAGGCUUGGAACUCUCCUUGUGAAGGGCUCAGGGACAACAGUGAGGACAAUGCCUCUUUAGUUGUAAUUGUGAUACUCCUGAUGUGCAAGUAAACAUUCCUGUGAUACUGCUUAUGCUAAAAUGUUGGUUGUUAGUACAGAGGUGGUGACAUUAUUUGGUUCUCUGAUAUUGAUUUCAUGAUUUGUAAUAUAAUCCACAUUGCAUUAUCUUUCCAGUAACAUCUCC